rnacentral:sRNA from 1 species
CCGAGUCUUACAACUCCCAAACCCCUGUGAACUUAUACCUUUACCGUUGCUUCGGCGGGUUAACGCCCCGGAAGGCCCUGAAAAGGCCGCCGGAACCAGGCGCCCGCCGGGGGACCCAAACUUUUGUGUGAUUUUCUUCAAUGGCAUGUCUGAGUGGAAUCAUAAACGAAUGAAU